UUGUGCUGCCUCCAGUGGUCCCUGCAGCUUAUCCAGGUGGCCUUGGCACUGGCAGAAUGGUGAUAGGGAAAUAAAGGAGCCCCUUUAAAAGCCAGAAAAGUGAAAGAUCAUAAGCCAAGCUGCAAAGAAAUGAAGGAAAUAAGAACUAGCUCAUAAGGAUUAAUUCAUCACAGGAGAAAUUUCCUCUCUGAAAGGAGGUGACAUGGAGCCAUUAGGAGUAUUAACUGUGUCAGAUUAGGCAUUUGGGUUGUGUCCCAACUCCCUGGGGAAGUGAUUCCUCCACAGAUCAGCUGAGAGCAGACGGAGGGUGUAAUGUGUAGCUCCAGCAUCUCCAAAGGUCUCUGGCAGAGGGUGGAGCAAAAGGACAGCAACUUUUUGGAUCACCUUCCACCUCCAGCAAGCAUUCUUGCUUUGGCCCAGAUCUCUGCAGUUUCCAUCAGGUACCAAUACA